CGUAAAGUAUCAUCAUAUGAUUGGUUUUAGGGCACAUUUCCAACAGCCGAAGCUCAAACUUGGCCCAAAACCCGGUCUAUAAUCUUUGGUCCAUAACCUUUGGGCCAUUGACACAUUAAACCCGGUUGGCCCAUAAUCCAAGCCCAGAUCUGGCCUAAACCCAUUUAUGAGUUGGUUUUGGAAUAUUCUUUGGAAUACCCGAGUUCGUUUGUGACAUUGAUAUAGUGAAAUUCCAAAGUUUUAACGUAGUUGACCACCGGGGCGUCUUGGUUGACUUUUUAGUGAUGACCAUUGACCUUCUCAUUGACUUUUUACAAAAUUUUCCAGGGACCCUCCUUAGCGUAUUUCGAUACUCUAAUUCCAAAUUCGUAUACGUUUUCCCAAAUUUAAUUGUUUUAGUGGAGUUUUACUAAUGGGUCCUAAUAUUAUGCUUAGGUGCGGUUAUUAUCGGUGACUUCAGCUAUUCUAGUUCGAACGGGUUCGACUCAACGACGUGAUCUAUGAGUGGGGUUGGUGACCUCUUGUAAGUUAAAAAGCUACAUUCAUUUUCAUAAAUCUCACUCACUUUAUGGUAAUUGUAGUACCAUUUUAAAACCCUAGAUCUAAUAUAUUCAUAGCCGUCGACCUCUUGCUCUGGCUUGUGGUUGGUGGUUGCCCCUUUCUUCCUUCUAGUAUUUCUCUUACUUGAACGCAUGAGUUGUGCAUAUCUAUUUUUCCUUGUAGUAUUUUUAUCCACAAGUGCCUCUUUGAUGAGGUUAUUUGUGAAUCUCUCCCAAUAAGUAUUUUAAUUUUAUUUUCACGUGUUGUCGGCUCCUCUUUAGUCUACUUAGCUUUUUUUUUUUUUUUUUUUUUUUAAGUAACUUUGUUGAUGGUGUUGUGGACAAAAUUCAUGGUAGUAUGGACAUUAGGCCAUCUCCAACCGAAGGGGCUACGAUUAGCCCCCGACCAUAUCUAUAUACAAUCUCCAACCAAAGGGGGCUAUUUUUUAACCCCCUCAAUAAUUUAUUAUUUUAAGUUUGUUCUUUAACUUUAUCGGUUAAUUGAAUAAACUACCAUAUUAAAAUGUUGUUUUAAGUUUCAUGUUAUUAAAUAUUUUAAUUUUACUUGCAUGUUAACAACUUUUUCAUUAAAAUGAGUAAGAUAAUAUGGAAUGGUGAAAAGGAUGUGAGAAAUGGUGUAGAAAUAGCUAAGGUAUUUAUAGGAAAAAAAUUUCAAUUUUUUUUUUUAAUUUCGUCUUAAAAAAAGAAGGCUACAUAAUGUCAACUAGCAGCACAGCUGGUCCCAACUUUCAGGGUUACCUGGUUGGCUAUGUUUGGCCAACCUUUUGGCCAUUUGGCUAUAUUUUGGCCUGGUGGGUCCCAAUUUUUUUGGCCCAGCCCUCCAUUGGAGAUGAGUUUUGUGUCAAAACGAGCUAUGUUU
rnacentral:lncRNA from 1 species